ACGAACGCUGGCGGCAUGCCUAACACAUGCAAGUCGAACGAGACCUUCGGGUCUAGUGGCGCACGGGUGCGUAACGCGUGGGAACCUGCCCUUAGGUUCGGAAUAACUCCCCGAAAGGGGUGCUAAUACCGGAUAAUGUCUUCGGACCAAAGAUUUAUCGCCUUUGGAUGGGCCCGCGUUGGAUUAGCUAGUUGGUAGGGUAAAAGCCUACCAAGGCGACGAUCCAUAGCUGGUCUGAGAGGAUGAUCGGCCACACUGGGACUGAGACACGGCCCAGACUCCUACGGGAGGCAGCAGUGGGGAAUAUUGGACAAUGGGCGAAAGCCUGAUCCAGCAAUGCCGCGUGAGUGAUGAAGGCCUUAGGGUUGUAAAGCUCUUUUACCCGGGAUGAUAAUGACAGUACCGGGAGAAUAAGCUCCGGCUAACUCCGU
rnacentral:rRNA from 1 species